ACAUGCAGAGAACUUUCCAGAGAUGGAUUGGUGCCUUCGGGAACUCUGACACAGGUGCUGCAUGGCUGUCGUCAGCUCGUGUCGUGAGAUGUUGGGUUAAGUCCCGUAACGAGCGCAACCCUUGUCCUUAGUUACCAGCACGUUAUGGUGGGCACUCUAAGGAGACUGCCGGUGACAAACCGGAGGAAGGUGGGGGAUGACGUCAAGUCAUCAUGGCCCUUACGGCCUGGGCUACACACGUGCUACAAUGGUCGGUACAAAGGGUUGCCAAGCCGCGAGGUGGAGCUAAUCCCAUAAAACCGAAUCGUAGUCCGGAUCGCAGUCUGCAACUCGACUGCGUGAAGUCGGAAUCGCUAGUAAUCGUGAAUCAGAAUGUCACGGUGAAUACGUUCCCGGGCCUU
rnacentral:rRNA from 1 species